GAUCUGGUCAGGACGAACGCUGGCGGCAUGCCUAACACAUGCAAGUCGAACGGAGUUAAGAGAAGCUUGCUUUCUUAACUUAGUGGCGGACGGGUGAGUAACGCGUGAGCAAUCUGCCUUUCAGUGGGGAAUAAUGUUCUGAAAAGAGCACUAAUACCGCAUGAUGUACAGUGACCGCAUGAUCAUUGUACCAAAGAUUUAUCGCUGAGAGAUGAGCUCGCGUCCGAUUAGCCGGUUGGUGGGGUAACGGCCUACCAAAGCUACGAUCGGUAGCCGGACUGAGAGGUUGAACGGCCACAUUGGGACUGAGACACGGCCCAGACUCCUACGGGAGGCAGCAGUGGGGGAUAUUGCGCAAUGGGGGAAACCCUGACGCAGCAAUGCCGCGUGAAGGAUGAAGGUCUUCGGAUUGUAAACUUCUUUUGUCAGGGACAAACAAUGACGGUACCUGACGAAUAAGCUCCGGCUAACUACGUGCCAGCAGCCGC
rnacentral:rRNA from 1 species